GACGAACGCUGGCGGCGUGCCUAAUACAUGCAAGUCGAACGAGAGCGACCGGUGCUUGCACUGGUCAAUCUAGUGGCGAACGGGUGAGUAACACGUGGGUAACCUGCCCAUCAGAGGGGGAUAACAUCCGGAAACGGAUGCUAAAACCGCAUAGGUCUUCGAACCGCAUGGUUUGAAGAGGAAAAGAGGCGCAAGCUUCUGCUGAUGGAUGGACCCGCGGUGCAUUAGCUAGUUGGUGAGGUAACGGCUCACCAAGGCCGUGAUGCAUAGCCGACCUGAGAGGGUGAUCGGCCACAUUGGGACUGAGACACGGCCCAAACUCCUACGGGAGGCAGCAGGAGGGAAUCUUCCGCAAUGAACGCAAGUCCGACGGAGCAACGCCGCGUGAGUGAAGAAGGUUUUCGGAUCGUAAAACUCUGUUGUUAGAGAAGAACAAGUGCUAGAGUAACUGUUAGCGCCUUGACGGUAUCUAACCAGAAAGCCACGGCUAACUACGUG
rnacentral:rRNA from 1 species